rnacentral:rRNA from 1 species
UGGGGAAUAUUGCACAAUGGGCGCAAGCCUGAUGCAGCCAUGCCGCGUGUGUGAAGAAGGCCUUCGGGUUGUAAAGCACUUUCAGCGGGGAGGAAGGCGGUGAGGUUAAUAACCUCAUCGAUUGACGUUACCCGCAGAAGAAGCACCGGCUAACUCCGUGCCAGCAGCCGCGGUAAUACGGAGGGUGCUAGCGUUAAUCGGAAUUACUGGGCGUAAAGCGCACGCAGGCGGUCUGUCAAGUCGGAUGUGAAAUCCCCGGGCUCAACCUGGGAACUGCAUCUGAUACUGGCAAGCUUGAGUCUCGUAGAGGGGGGUAGAAUUCCAGGUGUAGCGGUGAAAUGCGUAGAGAUCUGGAGGAAUACCGGUGGCGAAGGCGGCCCCCUGGACGAAGACUGACGCUCAGGUGCGAAAGCGUGGGGAGCAAACAGG